rnacentral:rRNA from 1 species
CACGGGUGAGUAACACGUAUCCAACCUGCCGUCUACUCUUGGACAGCCUUCUGAAAGGAAGAUUAAUACAAGAUGGCAUCAUGAGUCCGCAUGUUCACAUGAUUAAAGGUAUUCCGGUAGACGAUGGGGAUGCGUUCCAUUAGAUAGUAGGCGGGGUAACGGCCCACCUAGUCUUCGAUGGAUAGGGGUUCUGAGAGGAAGGUCCCCCACAUUGGAACUGAGACACGGCCAA